GUUGGUUUUCUCAGAGACAGGCGGAGGUCUGAAGUGUUGAGAGCAUCAGCUCUCAUCGAUGUGCGCCGCUGUAACGCUGCUUUUGUCCUCUGAGAUCACCAGGUAUGAAAUCCGAGUACUGACAGGGCAGCAGGACAGAUCUUUCCCCCUCAUUCACUUCCAUGAGCACAGCCAAGGCAUGCUGGGAAACUGAGGACACACCAACAGAUGUAGAAAUGACCUGCAUGCUGUGGGUUUGUCUCAGAGUCCUCACAGGACCUCCAAGUCUGCACUUAUGU